GGGCGGCUAGCUCAGCUGGUUAGAGCGUACGAUUCACAUUCGUAAGGUCAUAGGUUCGAUUCCUAUGCCGCCCA
rnacentral:tRNA from 1 species